rnacentral:piRNA from 1 species
UUCCUUUAUAUUAAAAUUUUG